rnacentral:misc_RNA from 1 species
GAUGAAGAACGUAGCGAAAUGCGAUAAGUAAUGUGAAUUGCAGAAUUCAGUGAAUCAUCAAAUCUUUGAACGCACAUUGCGCCCCCUGGUAUUCCGGGGGGCAUGCCUGUCCGAGCGUCAUUACAACCCUCAAGCUCAGCUUGGUAUUGGGCCCCGCCGCUCCGGCGGGCCCUAAAGUCAGUGGCGGUGCCGUCCGGCUCCGAGCGUAGUAAUUCUUCUCGCUCUGGAGGUCCGGUCGUGUGCUCGCCAGCAACCCCCAAUUUUUUUCAGGUUGACCUCGGAUCAGGUAGGGAUACCCGCUGAACUUAAGCAUAUCAAUAAGCGGAGGA